rnacentral:rRNA from 1 species
GACGAACGCUGGCGGCGUGCUUAACACAUGCAAGUCGAACGGAAAGGCCCUGCUUUUGUGGGGUGCUCGAGUGGCGAACGGGUGAGUAACACGUGAGUAACCUGCCCUUGACUUUGGGAUAACUUCAGGAAACUGGGGCUAUUACCGGAUAGGAGCUCCUGCUGCAUGGUGGGGGUUGGAAAGUUUCGGCGGUUGGGGAUGGACUCGCGGCUUAUCAGCUUGUUGGUGGGGUAGGUGCUUACCAAGGCUUUGACGGGUAGCCGGCCUGAGAGGGUGACCGGCCACAUUGGGACUGAGAUACGGCCCAGACUCCUACGGGAGGCAGCAGUGGGGAAUAUUGCACAAUGGGCGGAAGCCUGAUGCAGCAACGCCGCGUGCGGGAUGACGGCCUUCGGGUUGUAAACCGCUUUCGCCUGUGACGAAGCGUGAGUGACGGUAAUGGGUAAAGAAGCACCGGCUAACUACGUG